rnacentral:rRNA from 1 species
UACGUAGGGUCCGAGCGUUGUCCGGAAUUACUGGGCGUAAAGAGCUCGUAGGUGGUUUGUCGCGUUGUUCGUGAAAACUCACAGCUCAACUGUGGGCGUGCGGGCGAUACGGGCAGACUGGAGUACUGCAGGGGAGACUGGAAUUCCUGGUGUAGCGGUGGAAUGCGCAGAUAUCAGGAGGAACACCGGUGGCGAAGGCGGGUCUCUGGGCCGAUACUGACGCUGAGGAGCGAAAGCGUGGGGAGCGAAUAGG